rnacentral:rRNA from 1 species
GUCGAGAAUCUUUCACAAUGGGGGCAACCCUGAUGGAGCGACGCCGCGUGGAGGAUAAGGUCUUCGGAUUGUAAACUCCUGUCAUGCGUGAACAAGGUUGCUUGGUUAAUACCUGGGCAAAUUGAUGGUAACGCAAGAGGAAGAGACGGCUAACUCUGUGCCAGCAGCCGCGGUAAUACAGAGGUCUCAAGCGUUGUUCGGAAUCACUGGGCGUAAUGGGUGCGUAGGUGGCGUGGUAAGUCAGAUGUGAAAGCCCGGGGCUCAACCUCGGAACUGCAUCCGAUACUGCCAUGCUAGAGUACUGGAGAGGUGACUAGAAUUCUCGGUGUAGCAGUGAAAUGCGUAGAUAUCGAGAGGAAUACCAAAGGCGUAGGCAGGUCACUGGACAGUUACUGACACUGAGGCACGAAGGCCAGGGGAGCGAACGGGAUUAGAAACCCUGGUAGUCC